AAAUUCCUUGUCGGGUAAGUUCCGACCUGCACGAAUGGCGUAACGAUGGCCACACUGUCUCCUCCUGGGACUCAGCGAAGUUGAAAUGUUUGUGAAGAUGCAAUCUCCCCCGCGGCUAGACGGAAAGACCCCGUGAACCUUUUACUAUAGCUUUGCAUUGGGCUUGACUUGUUGAUGCGUAGGAUAGGUGGGAAGCAUUGAUCCGGGGAUUCUGGUUCUCGGGGAGCUGACGUUGAAAUACCACCCUUUGGCUAGUUGAGUCCUAACCCCGCUGAGCGGGGGACAUUGCAUGGUGGGUAGUUUGACUGGGGUGGUCACCUCCUAAAAAGUAACGGAGGUUUGCAAAGGUACCCUCAGCAUGGUCGGUAAUCAUGCGCAGAGCGUAUUAGUACAAGGGUGCUUGACUGAGAGACCGACGGGUCGAUCAGGGUCGAAAGACGGCUAAAGUGAUCCGGUGGUUCCGUAUGGAAGGGCCAUCGCUCAAAGGAUAAAAGGUACUCCGGGG
rnacentral:rRNA from 1 species